rnacentral:rRNA from 1 species
AUUGAACGCUGGCGGCAUGCCUUACACAUGCAAGUCGAACGGCAGCACGGGAGCGAUCCUGGUGGCGAGUGGCGAACGGGUGAGUAAUAUAUCGGAACGUGCCCAGUCGUGGGGGAUAACGUAGCGAAAGCUACGCUAAUACCGCAUACGAUCUAUGGAUGAAAGCGGGGGAUCGCAAGACCUCGCGCGAUUGGAGCGGCCGAUAUCAGAUUAGGUAGUUGGUGAGGUAAAGGCUCACCAAGCCGACGAUCUGUAGCUGGUCUGAGAGGACGACCAGCCACACUGGGACUGAGACACGGCCCAGACUCCUACGGGAGGCAGCAGUGGGGAAUUUUGGACAAUGGGCGCAAGCCUGAUCCAGCAAUGCCGCGUGCAGGAUGAAGGCCUUCGGGUUGUAAACUGCUUUUGUACGGAACGAAACGGUGAGCUCUAAUACAGUUUGCUAAUGACGGUACCGUAAGAAUAAGCACCGGCUAACUACGUG